UGAGAGUUAAAUGAGAAAUUGUCCCUUCAAAACAAAGGCAUCACCACUCAAACAGGAUGUUAACCAUAGUUAAAACUAAUUAAAGUUGCUAUAACUCUUAUACCUUCUAAGUUAUUAGUAAGUAAUUUGCACAUAGUCAACAUUUUAUCCACAUGCUUCAAAAUGUUCUUAC